UUGACCUUGUAAGACCUUUUC
rnacentral:siRNA from 1 species